AACGAACGCUGGCGGCAUGCCUAACACAUGCAAGUCGAACGAGACCUUCGGGUCUUGUGGCGCACGGGUGCGUAACGCGUGGGAACCUGCCCUUAGGUUCGGAAUAACUCCCCGAAAGGGGUGCUAAUACCGGAUAAUGUCUUCGGACCAAAGAUUUAUCGCCUUUGGAUGGGCCCGCGUUGGAUUAGCUAGUUGGUAGGGUAAAAGCCUACCAAGGCGACGAUCCAUAGCUGGUCUGAGAGGAUGAUCAGCCACACUGGGACUGAGACACGGCCCAGACUCCUACGGGAGGCAGCAGUGGGGAAUAUUGGACAAUGGGCGAAAGCCUGAUCCAGCAAGGCCGCGUGAGUGAUGAAGGCCUUAGGGUUGUAAAGCUCUUUUACCCGGGAUGAUAAUGACAGUACCGGGAGAAUAAGCCCCGGCUAACUCCGUG
rnacentral:rRNA from 1 species